AAAAAACCCCUUUUCUCAGGACA
rnacentral:tRNA from 1 species